rnacentral:rRNA from 1 species
UACGUAGGGGGCGAGCGUUGUCCGGAAUUACUGGGCGUAAAGCGCGCGUAGGCGGCUUUACAAGUCGUCUGUGAAAGACCCAGGCUCAACUUGGGGAUUGCAGGCGAAACUGUAGGGCUUGAGUGCGGUAGAGGAAAGUGGAAUUCCUAGUGUAGCGGUGAAAUGCGCAGAGAUUAGGAGGAACACCAGUGGCGAAGGCGACUUUCUGGGCCGCAACUGACGCUGAGGCGCGAAAGCGUGGGGAGCAAACAGG